rnacentral:rRNA from 1 species
AUACGGAGGGUGCAAGCGUUACUCGGAAUCACUGGGCGUAAAGCGCGCGCAGGCGGCUUGAUAAGUUGGAUGGGAAAGCCUACGGCUCAACCGUAGAACUGCAUCCAAAACUGUCAAGCUAGAGUCUGGGAGGGGAAGAUGGAAUCAGUUGUGUAGGGGUAAAAUCCGUAGAGAUAACUAGGAAUACCAAAAGCGAAGGCAAUCUUCUGGAACACUACUGACGCUGAGGCGCGAAAGCGUGGGGAGCAAACAGGAUUAGAAACCCUAGUAGUCC